rnacentral:rRNA from 1 species
UACAGGGGGUGCAAACGUUGCUCGGAAUCAUUGGGCGUAAAGCGCACGUAGGCGGUUCGUUAUGUCGGAUGUGAAAGCCCUUGGCUUAACCGAGGAAGUGCAUCCGAAACUGGCGAGCUAGAGUACUAAAGAGGAUCGCGGAAUUCCCGGUGUAGAGGUGAAAUUCGUAGAUAUCGGGAGGAACACCGGUGGCGAAGGCGGCGAUCUGGGCCGAUAUUGACGCUGAGGAGCGAAAGCGUGGGGAGCGAACAGG